UACAGAGGUGGCAAGCGUUGUUCGGAAUUACUGGGCGUAAAGGGCGCGUAGGCGGCCUUCUAAGCCGGACGUGAAAUCCCCAGGCUUAACUUGGGAACUGCGUCUGAUACUGGGAGGCUUGAGUGCGGGAGAGGGAUGUGGAAUUCCAGGUGUAGCGGUGAAAUGCGUAGAUAUCUGGAGGAACACCGGUGGCGAAGGCGGCAUCCUGGACCGACACUGACGCUGAGGCGCGAAAGCCAGGGGAGCAAACGGG
rnacentral:rRNA from 1 species